GACACAUUCGGCUGGCUGGGUUUAUGGCGUUCUGCCUCACUCCCUCUGCCCCAGAGUGAAGCUGAAUUAUAAACUAGGACCAGCCUUAUCUGAGGCAGCCAUGCAACAAUGGUAUCUGGAGGUCCUGAUGGAGUUAAAGUUCAGAGCCCUCUGGUCAUCUUCCCCUAAUAUUUCUAUCCUGCCAGGACAAUGGACCAAAAUUCUCUAUAGAGUGCAGAAGAUUCCAGCUCUCAAGGUGAAUCUCAGCCAUUUAGCAUCUGCCCUAUUUUAAGCUUCUGAUACCAAAGAAGAAAUCAUGAGGCCAAAAGUAAGACUUGGCGGCCAAGAAGAUGGCAAAGCACAAGAUGUUGAGCGAAAGUAUGUGCACAAAUGUCAGAGACAACCAGCAGUUUGUAGAUACUUAACAUAUUCUGGACACUUGGA